rnacentral:rRNA from 1 species
UACGUAGGGGGCAAGCGUUGUCCGGAUUUAUUGGGCGUAAAGAGCGUGUAGGCGGCUAGGUAGGUCCGUUGUGAAAACUCGAGGCUCAACCUCGAGACGCCGAUGGAAACCCUCCAGCUAGAGUCCGGAAGAGGAGAGUGGAAUUCCUGGUGUAGCGGUGAAAUGCGCAGAUAUCAGGAAGAACACCCGUGGCUAAGGCGGCUCUCUAGUACGGUACUGACGCUGAGACGCGAAAGCGUGGGGAGCGAACAGG